rnacentral:rRNA from 1 species
GUCCACGCUGUAAACGAUGUCAACUAGCCGUUGGGCCUAUUUACAGGUUUAGUGGCGCAGCUAACGCAUUAAGUUGACCGCCUGGGGAGUACGGCCGCAAGGUUAAACUCAAAUGAAUUGACGGGGCCCGCACAAGCGGUGGAGCAUGUGGUUUAAUUCGAUGCAACGCGAAGAACCUUACCUACCCUUGACAUCCAGAGAAUCUGUUAGAGAUAGUAGAGUGCCUUCGGGAGCUCUGAGACAGGUGCUGCAUGGCUGUCGU